AUAUAUAUAUAUAUAUAUAUAUAUAUAUAUAUAUAUAUAUAUAUAUAGAGAGAGAGGCUGAAAUACUAUUAAUAGUAAAAGAUUCUCUUUGCUAUUAAGUUUUUAAUCAUUCGAUGAAAAAUUGUAGGAUUAGAAUGAUAUUAGUUCCUUAGGGUUAAGUGGUUCUCCUAAAGUUGAGUGGUCCUCACUAGUUAUAAUAUUUAAUCCAAUGGUUAGAAAUGAUAAAAAGCUUUGAUCUAAAUUUAGAUACUAAUAUCUCUUACUUGGAUAUAUAUGCAUAAACUUUAUUAU
rnacentral:lncRNA from 1 species